CACCACGGCAGCAAAGACACACAG
rnacentral:piRNA from 1 species